AAGAAAGUAAGGAAACUGAGCGUUCAAACAAUGAGGGAACGAAACUGAGCGUGCAGAAAACCACCGAAACGUCACUUUCGUUUCCGCUGAAAAAACGUACGGGUCGGUCACAUCGUGGCAGUGGAAAAUUGUGCGCGUUUCACCGUUUUUUUGUGUUGCCGAGGAGGAAUCGCCGAAAGUUCCGCGGUCAAAAUAUCACCGAAAGUGAUACGAGGCAAAAACCCGGCCACGCCACGUGCAUACUGGGCACGGAAUCCAGCCAUUCGAUAAAAAAAGGGCAGCCCAUUUCGGGGAAAAAUCGAUUCCCGGGUCAGUAGCUCCAGGAGGAGAAAACGAGCUCCAGAAAAGGGUCGCGAAGCGCUGGAUUCCAAGGCGGUUUCGGGCACUGCUCCGGUGGCAUAAAUUCCGGCUCACAUCUCCAUUGGCCCGCGAGCCGACAGCCGAAGAAAAUCAGCUGCCCCCUGGUAGUCCCCAGGAGGCGCCACAGGCGUAGGGCAUUGGCCCGCGAGCCGACAGCCGAAGAAAAUCAGCUGCCCCCUGGUAGACCCCAGGAGGCGCCACAGAGGUAGGACGGAGGCACAAACAACAACAUCAGCAGCCCCCUGGUAGACCCCAGGAGGCGCCACAGAGGUAGGGCGGAGGCACAAACAACAACAUCAGCAGCCCCCUGGUAGACCCCAGGAGGCACCACAGAGGUAGGUGCGGAGGCACAAACACUGCAAAAUCAGCAGCCCCCCGGUAGUCCCCAGGAGGCGCCCCAGGUCGUAGGACGGCCGAAGAACGAUAGCGGCGCUAAGGUGCCACCAAUCGGCCCCGGACUUAGGGCGUCCGAGCAACAGCGGCGGCGCCAAGGUGCCACCAAUCGGCCCCAGGCUUAGGGCGGCCGAGCAGCAGCAGCGCCAAAAUCUUUGCCAAAAUCUAAUUGAAGCCAUUUUUUCAUUCAUGUGGCAUCGCCCACGAAAAGCCAACAUAAUAGAAUUCAAUCUUAAAA